GGGGAAUUUUUCGCAAUGGGGGAAACCCUGACGAAGCAACGCCGCGUGGAGGAUGAAGGCCUUCGGGUCGUAAACUCCUGUCGACCGGGACGAACGUAGUCGGGUCCAAUACACCCGGCUAUCGACUGUACCGGUGGAGGAAGCCACGGCUAACUUCGUGCCAGCAGCCGCGGUAAUACGAAGGGUGCAAACGUUGCUCGGAGUCAUUGGGCGUAAAGCGCACGUAGGCGGCCUCGCAAGUCUGAUGUGAAAUCCCUCGGCUCAACCGAGGACGUGCAUCGGAAGCUGCGGGGCUUGAGUACUGAAGAGGAUCGCGGAAUUCCCGGUGUAGAGGUGAAAUUCGUAGAUAUCGGGAGGAACACCAGUGGCGAAGGCGGCGAUCUGGGCAGAUACUGACGCUGAGGUGCGAAAGCGUGGGGAGCAAA
rnacentral:rRNA from 1 species